rnacentral:rRNA from 1 species
AACGAACGCUGGCGGCAUGCCUAACACAUGCAAGUCGAACGAUGCCUUCGGGCAUAGUGGCGCACGGGUGCGUAACGCGUGGGAAUCUGCCUUUCGGUUCGGAAUAGCUCAGGGAAACUUGAGCUAAUACCGGAUAACGUCGCAAGACCAAAGAUUUAUCACCGAAAGAUGAGCCCGCGUAGGAUUAGCUAGUUGGUGAGGUAAAGGCUCACCAAGGCGACGAUCCUUAGCUGGUCUGAGAGGAUGAUCAGCCACACUGGGACUGAGACACGGCCCAGACUCCUACGGGAGGCAGCAGUGGGGAAUAUUGGACAAUGGGCGAAAGCCUGAUCCAGCAAUGCCGCGUGAGUGAUGAAGGCCUUAGGGUUGUAAAGCUCUUUUACCCGGGAAGAUAAUGACGGUACCGGGAGAAUAAGCCCCGGCUAACUCCGUG